rnacentral:rRNA from 1 species
AAGCUCGUAGUUAAUUUCGGGGUUUUACCGUUGGUCGGGCUAACAAGUCUGUACUAGCGUGUAGAAUCUCUACCUUCUGGGGAACCAUCAUGUUAUUAAUUUAGCGUGGUGGGAAACCAGGACCUUUACCUUGAAAAAAUUAGAGUGUUCAAAGCAGGCUUACGUCUGAAUACAUUAGCAUGGAAUAAUAAAAUAGGACGGUGGUCCUGUUUUGUUGGUUUCUGAAUCACCGUAAUGAUUAAUAGGGAUAGUUGGG